rnacentral:rRNA from 1 species
UGGGGAAUCUUGGACAAUGGGCGCAAGCCUGAUCCAGCCAUGCCGCGUGAGUGAUGAAGGCCUUAGGGUUGUAAAGCUCUUUUGCCGGGGACGAUAAUGACGGUACCCGGAGAAUAAGUCCCGGCUAACUUCGUGCCAGCAGCCGCGGUAAUACGAAGGGGACUAGCGUUGUUCGGAAUCACUGGGCGUAAAGCGCACGUAGGCGGAUUUGUAAGUCAGGGGUGAAAUCCCGGGGCUCAACCUCGGAACUGCCUUUGAUACUGCGGAUCUCGAGUCCGAUAGAGGUGAGUGGAAUUCCUAGUGUAGAGGUGAAAUUCGUAGAUAUUAGGAAGAACACCGGUGGCGAAGGCGGCUCACUGGAUCGGUACUGACGCUGAGGUGCGAAAGCGUGGGGAGCAAACAGGAUUAGAUACCCAUGUAGUCCCUGAGCGGGCUGGCAAGGCGCAU